rnacentral:rRNA from 1 species
UUGCGGUUAAAAGCUCGUAGUUGGAUUUUGGGGCGAGAAGGCUGGUCGGCCAAUUGGUUUGUACCGGCAGUUUCGCUCUUCCUUCUGGGAACCUGCGCACUUGAUUGUGUGUACGGGACGCAGAUCGUUUACUUUGAAAAAAUUAGAGUGUUCAAAGCAGGCCAUCGCUUGAAUACAUUAGCAUGGAAUAAUGGAAUAGGACUUUGGUUCUAUUUUGUUGGUUUCUGGAACCAAGGUAAUGAUUAAUAGGGACAGUUGGGGACGUUGAUAUUUCAUUGUCAGAGGUGAAAUUCUUGGAUUUAUGGAAGAUCAACUUCUGCGAAAGCAUUCGUCAAGGAUGUUUUCAUUAAUCAAGAACGAAAGUUAGGGGAUCGAAGACGAUCAGAUACCGUCGUAGUCUUAACCAUAAACUAUGCCGACUCGGGAUCGGUAGGCGUUGUUUUUGACCCCAUCGGCACCGUGUGAGAAAUCAAAGUGAUUGGGUUCCGGGGGGAGUAUGGUCGCAAGGCUGAAACUUAAAGGAAUUGACGGAAGGGCACCACCAGGAGUGGAGCCUGCGGCUUAAUUUGACUCAACACGGGGAAACUUACCAGGUCCAGACAUGGGAAGGAUUGACAGAUUGAGAGCUCUUUCUUGAU